AUGAAAAGGCAGAAGAAACCCUCAAUUCUAGAUGAAAUUGAAUAUGAUGAUUACCAGGAAGAUGAAUACAAUCAUCCCUCUAGACUUGGGAGUAAGCACUCAACAAAGUUGUCAACUAAUAAAAAUAAACCUCGCAAGAAAAGCCCUAGAGUUCCCACAAACCAGGAAAAAGCUCAAUAUGAGUAUUACCCUGAUAGAUCUCAUAGGAAAAGACCAAGAGAUUCCUCUAACCAAGAUGAAUCUGAAUAUGAGGGAACGCCCGGUGUUCCCUCAGAGCAGGAAGGACAGGAAGAUGAUGGUUUCCCGGACUAUGAUGGCCCCAGAGAUCUCUCAAACCCAGAUGCAUCCGAAGAUGCGGAUUACCCUGAAUCUGAAGAAUCUGCUGGCAAAGACGCAAGAAAUCUCUCUUCAGCUGAAAUACACACAGGAAAAAAGAAACGUCUCAAGAAAAGCGGUAGAGCUCCCUCAAAGCCAGACCAACCUGAAUAUGAGGAUGAUCCUGAAAGAACUCGUAGGAAAAGCCCUAGAGAUUCCUCUAACCAAGAUGAAUCAGAAUAUGAGGAUUACCUUGACUCCGAUGAAGUUGAAGAAAAACACCCAAGCGAUCCUUUCUCAAGUAAAAAGCUAAAGCGUAAAGAAAAACCUCGCAAGAAGGGUCCCGAAGGUUCCCCAUACCCAAAUGGACCUAACAAUGAGGAUAGCUCUGACCUAGGUGAAUUUGAAGAGCAAGGACCAAGACAUCCCUCCUCAAUAAAAUACCCCAAAAAUAAAAACAAACCACGUAAGGGAGCGCCCGGUGAUUCCUCAGAGCCAGAAGGACAGGAAGAUGAUAGUUUCCCUGACUCUGAUGGGCCCGGAUAUCCCUCAAACCCAGACGCACUCAAAGAUGAGGAUUACCUUGAAUCUGAAGAAUCUCCUGGGAAAGACCAAAGAGAUCCCUUUUCAACUAAAAAACGCCCAGGUAAAGAGAAACCACUCAAGAAAGGUCCCAAAGGUUACUCAGACCCAAAUAAAUUCAACAAUGAGGAUAUCUAUGACCCAGGUGCAUCUGGAGAACAAGGCCCUAGACAUCCCUCCUCAAUGAAAUACCCCAAAAAUAAAAACAAACCACGUAAGGGAGCGCCCGGUGAUUUCUCAGAGCCAGAAGGACAGGAAGAUGAUAGUUUCUCUGACUCUGAUGGGCCCGGAUAUCCCUCAAACCCAGAGGCACCCAAAGAUGAGGAUUACCUUGAAUCUGAAGAAUCUCCUGAGAAAGACCAAAGAAAUCCCAGUUCGACUAAAAAACGCCCAGGUAAAGAGAAACCACUCAAGAAAGGUCCCGAAGGUUCAAAUCCCGGGAGCAGAGUGAGCACCCGCUGUUAGCUCCAGCUUCUGCCAACCUAGCAGCUUGAAAACAUGCCAAUGUGAGUAGAUGAAUAGGUACCGCUCUGGCGGGAAGGUAAUGGCACUCCAUGUAGUCAUGCCGGCCACAUGACCUUGGAGGUGUCUAUGGACAACACUGGCUCCUGGGCUUAGAAAUGGAGGUGAGCACAACCCCCAGAGUCAGACAUGACUGAACUUAACGUCAAGGGAUACCUUUACACACACACAUAUGCAGGGACUACACCAAUUUAACAAAGUUUCAGCCACAAAAACAAAGUUUCUGAAGUAGAGCAAUGACUUUCACAGUAAAGACAACCCAAUUUAACAGGAAAUAAGACUUUCAAACCAGGAACAGAUUUCUGCAAUUAUUAAAAAAUGGUUUAUUAUAAAAGCUAUGAAAAUUUGCCAAAAAUCAGAGGAUAAGGGAAACGUUCCACAUUUUGGUGAGCUAUCAGUGUUAAAUGUGUUCUACCACUGUACCAGGUUUGAAGAAGAUCACUCAAAAAAUGAGGGCGGGAGAGCCCCCUAAGUCCCCCCCCUUCGGGCUGUUUUUGGGCCACCGCGCAUGCGCGUCUGCCAUUAACGAAUUAAUUUCGAAAAUAACGAAUUUUCGUUAAUUUCGAAAAAUUUUGGGGGCCAAAUUCGUUAUUAGCAACAAAAACGAAAAACUGCCCCCUCUAGUUUUGAAACGAGUUUAGAAUCAAAUUUUUCAUGGAUCGAUCAAGCCUAUUUUCUAGGGAAGGGCCUUGUUGACUCCCAGGUAAAAAGGGCAGCCAAGUCAGAAAUGGGGACUGACUCACAACUGACUCAUGCUCAGCUUCUGGUCCCCAAAAGCAGGAUCUACACUGCCAGUGUAGAUAAUCUACACUGAUUAUCUAGUCAAAUAAUCCAGAUUAUCUGAUUUGAGCUAGAUUAUAUGAGUUUACAUUCCCAUAUAAUCCUGUUCAAAGCAAAUUAAUAACUCCAGGUUAAUAACUGGAGCAGCGUACAGGGAGCGUACCACUCCUCUGUUACACCAGCUCCACUGGCUGCCGAAUAGCUACCGAGCACAAUUCAAGGUGCUGGCUUUAGCCUAUAAAGCUCUAAACAGUUCUGGCCCAGCUUAUCUGUCCAAACUUAUCCCCUGCUACAAGCCGAGGCUUUUCAAAGCUAUUUUGCUGACAAGAUCUCACUACUACGCCGGGACCUCCCCGCCACAACUGAUACAAUGAGAGAACUUGAGACUCCGUGGCCACUUGCUGGGCCCACCCUCGACCAGUUCAUCCCACUGGACGCAGAGGCUGUCGAUAGGCUCAUAGCUGCAGCUAGACCGACCACUUGCUCCCUCGAUCCGUGUCCCUCUUGGUUGGUGAAAUCCUGCUUGGAGGGAUUACGUGACUCGCUGCUGAAGAUAAUAAACAGCUCCCUUGAGCAAGGAGUCUUUCCAGAAGGAUUAAAAGAGGCGGUGGUCUCUGCUGAAAAAACCAGAUUUAGAUCGUUCGGUUCCCUCCAGCUACCGCCCAGUUUCAAAUCUUUCAUUUCUGGGCAAGGUGAUUGAGAGGGCAGUAGCGGUGCAGCUGCAGCAGUUCCUAGACGACACAGCCGGACUGGAUCCUUUCCAGUCUGGCUUCCGUGCGGGGCAUGGGACAGAGACUGUAUUGGUUUCCAUCACAGAUCAUCUCCGAUGCCAGCUUGACCGGGGCGGGUCGGUGUUGCUUGUGUUAUUGGAUCUCACAGCAGCAUUUGACACAGUCGAUCACAAUCUUCUGACCCACCGCCUUGCCGUUGCUGGAGUUAGGGGGACAGCUUUAAAUUGGCUGGCCUCCUUUCUUCACAACCGUGGACAGCGAGUGGAGAGGGGAGGCCUGGUCUCUGAGAGGUCCCCUCUACAUUGUGGGGUUCCUCAGGGGGCCAUUCUCUCCCCUCUGUUGUUUAACAACUAUAUGCAACCACUUGCUCAGCUGGUCCGAGAUUUCGGGCUCGAGUGUUAUCAAUAUGCUGACGACACUCAGCUUGUGUUAAAGAUGGAAGGCCAACCGGAGUCUGUACCCGACAGUUUUCACCAGUGCCUCGAGGCCAUUAUUGGAUGGUUGCGUUCCAGUAGGUUGAGGGUGAAUCCAGCAAAGACAGAGAUCCUAUGGCUGGGCCGACCGGGCAGUGGGGAUAUCCAGUUGCCAACCCUGGAUGGCGAAGUGCUAUGCCCGUCUUCACUAGUAAAGAGUCUGGGAGUCCUCUUGGACCCUUCAUUGACGAUGGAGGUCCAGGUCUCCGCCGUUACCAAAACUGCCUUUUUUCAUCUUCGGCAGGCUAGACGGCUAGCCCCCUAUCUAUCUAGGGACAACCUGGCUACAGUGAUCCAGGCUACAGUCAUCUCGAGACUGGACUACUGUAAUGCCCUUUACAUUGGCCUUCCUGUAUCGGUGAUCCGGAAGCUCAAAUUGGUGCAAAAUGCAGCUGCCCGGCUCCUUGCGGGAGUCCCGAUAAGAUGCCACAUAACACCAAUCUUAUGGCAGCUGCACUGGUUACCAAUUGAGCACCGGAUCACUUUCAAAGUGAUGGUGCUUACUUUCAAGGCCUUACAUGGUCUGGGGCCGAUGUACCUGAGGGACCGCCUCACCCCCUACAAACCCCAGAGAACCCUCCGUUCUGAGGACCAAGACCUACUGGAAGUCCCCAGUUUUAAGACCUUGCGUCUAACUGCAACUUGACGCAGAGCCUUUUCAGCAGUGGCGCCAUCUCUGUGGAACACCUUGCCACCUGAAGUUCGUGCCUUGCGGGACUUGUUG
ensembl:lncRNA